rnacentral:rRNA from 1 species
UACAGAGGUCUCAAGCGUUGUUCGGAUUCAUUGGGCGUAAAGGGUGCGUAGGCGGCGCGGUAAGUCGGGUGUGAAAUCUUGGAGCUUAACUCCGAAACUGCAUUCGAUACUGCCGUGCUUGAGGACUGGAGAGGAGACUGGAAUUUACGGUGUAGCGGUGAAAUGCGUAGAUAUCGUAAGGAAGACCAGUGGCGAAGGCGGGUCUCUGGACAACUCCUGACACUGAGGCACGAAAGCUAGGGGAGCAAACAGG